rnacentral:rRNA from 1 species
UCGGAAUCACUGGGCUUAAAGCGCGUGUAGGCGGGUGGGAACGUCGGUAGUUGAAAGCCCCCGGCUCAACCGGGGAAGUGGUGCCGAAACGACCCGUCUGGAGGGACGUAGGGGGACCUGGAACUUCCGGUGGAGCGGUGAAAUGCGUUGAGAUCGGAAGGAACGCCCGUGGCGAAAGCGAGGUCCUGGACGUCUACUGACGCUGAGACGCGAAAGCUAGGGGAGCAAACGGG